rnacentral:rRNA from 1 species
AUCGAACGCUGGCGGCAGGCCUAACACAUGCAAGUCGAACGAGUGGCGGACGGGUGAGUAAUGUCUGGGAAACUGCCUGAUGGAGGGGGUUAACUACUGGAAACGGUAGCUAAUACCGCAUACCAUCGGAUGUGCCCAGAUGGGAUUGGCUAGUAGGUGGGGUAAAGGCUCACCUAGGCUACGAUCCCUAGCUGGUCUGAGAGGAUGACCAGCCACCCUGGGACUGAAGCACGGUCCGUGCUCCGACGGGAGGCAGCAGUGGGGAAUAUUGGAGAAUGGGCGAAGGCCUGAUGCGGCCCUGCCGCGUGUCUGAAGAAGGACUUCGGGUUGUAAAGUACUUUCAGCGAAGAGGCUUUACCCGCAAAAGAAGCACCGGCUAACUCCGUGCCAGCCGCCGCGGUAAUUC